ACGGGUGAGUAACACGUAGGUAACCUACCCUUCAGUGGGGGACAACAGAGGGAAACUUCUGCUAAUACCGCAUACGAUCACGGACUGGGAUGUUCGUGGUGAAAGGAUUUAUUCGCUGAGGGAUGGGCCUGCGGCCUAUCAGGUAGUUGGUGGGGUAAUGGCCUACCAAGCCUGCGACGGGUAGCCGGACUGAGAGGUCGAUCGGCCACACUGGAACUGAGACACGGUCCAGACUCCUACGGGAGGCAGCAGUGGGGAAUAUUGCACAAUGGGGGAAACCCUGAUGCAGCGACGCCGCGUGGAGGAUGACGGCCUUCGGGUUGUAAACUCCUUUUGUCGGGGACAAUGGUGAUGGUACCCGACGAAUAAGCCACGGCUAACUCUGUGCCAGCAGCCGCGGUAAGACAGAGGUGGCGAGCGUUGUUCGGAAUUACUGGGCUUAAAGGGCGCGUAGGCGGUGGUGUAAGUCUAGGGUGGAAUGCUACAGCUCAACUGUAGAGCUGCCUUGGAAACUGCAUUACUUGAGUCGGUGAGGGGAAGGUGGAAUUCCGGGU
rnacentral:rRNA from 1 species